UACGAAGGGGGCUAGCGUUGCUCGGAUUGACUGGGCGUAAAGGGCGCGUAGGCGGUUUGCAUAGUCAGACGUGAAAUUCCUGGGCUUAACCUGGGGGCUGACGUUUGAUACAUGCAGGCUUGAGUUCGGAAGAGGGUCGUGGAAUUCCCAGUGUAGAGGUGAAUUCGUAGAUAUUGGGAAGAACACCGGUGGCGAAGGCGGCGACCUGGUCCGAUACUGACGCUGAGGCGCGAAAGCGUGGGGAGCAAACAGG
rnacentral:rRNA from 1 species